UGUGUGAAUCUGUGUGUGUUUAUUGAUCAGGCUCUGGUGUAUGUUUUGUCAGGGUCUGAAGGUAAACCAUGUUCCCCACCUGCCACCCUAGGCUCAGGGACUGAGUCUUCUUCCUCCUUGUCUCCUGCGUCCAUUGCAGAUGAUGUUUUCUUCAGUAGCUUGACUGAGGAGCAGAGUCCCAGCUCAACAGAGAGUGACUAUGAGAACCCUGGACAAGACGUGGACAGCAGCGCCGAGGACCUCCUCAAUCUCAACUCGUCUCUAAGAGGCUCCGAGUUCUUCAGAGACCUUCAGCCUGAACCCAUAACCAGCCAAACACCUCCCACGGCCGUUUCCAUCGUCAUCACCCCCGUUGGCGAGCACAGUCUCAGCCCAACCCUGCACGUGUACCAGAUAGUAGACAAAGGCUCUUACCAAGGCCCUGUGGCAUCUAACUACAGCCAGCUUCCCUGGCAGUUUAGCAGCAGCAUGGAGAACCAGCAAAGUGACUCAGAGCAGCCCACUGUCACCGUCAACACCACGGUGCAGCUGGGUGACCCCGGUGACCCCGAGGCCCAAGAGGCCCUUGAAGCCCCAGAGGGCCCGGAGGCCCCCGAGCUCCACGACUCAGACCCAGACAACAUCCCCAUGCUGGUGAGGUCCAUGUCCACAUCACGGAGGCACAGCUGCGGGUUGCCAGUCUCCCCAAUAGACUUGGGCAGAAGACUUAGUCUGGACGCCUCCGGAAUAGACAGUGAUGAGGAUAGAGAAGGAUCAAUUCUGUCUCGGUCAACACGCCACCAGGUUUUUGCUUACCCAGACUGCUCUGAGGACCAAGUGGGAAAUGACUCUGCAUUUCAACAAGAUGUGAGUAACACUUGUUUUCACGAUGGUCAUAGUAAAUACUAAAAAACUACAGACAAAACUAGAUUCCAAAACCCAUCCAGUCUCCAAGGAGCCAACACAAAAACCAUAAAACCCACCAGCACCAGAACUCUUUAGUUUUUUAACGUACAAUCUGCAAAUUAAAUCUUUGGUGCUGUCCAAUGGAUUUAUUGUUGUUGUAGGAGCCUGACAGAGCUGGGAGGACCCCAUGUGCAAAGUCUGAUAUGCUGGCAUCAGAUGAGAGGUCCAAGGCAGCACGUGUGUCCCGAAUCCUGGAAACUUCCAGCCAGGCUGCCAAGGAUUCAGGAGGUCAGCUCUCACAGUCAUGCUCCCUCAAACUGCAGCCCAGUGAACAUAGAACAAAUUCUAGGAUGAUCAUGACUCCAUAGCAUAUAGAGAACUAACAAGUUUCUCACCAGAAGUACAUGAACCACAAAUUAGGUCCUACUGGCAAUAUGGGUUCAAGAUGGAGAUUUCUGUCUUAACUGUUAUUGUUCAGAUUGUGUUAUUCUGUCACUGAGAAAUGUUUUUUUUAUCCGGAAUACAGAC
ensembl:lncRNA